UUCACGGAGAGUUUGAUCCUGGCUCAGGACGAACGCUGGCGGCGCGCUUAACACAUGCAAGUCGAGCGAGAACCGGGGCUUCGGCCCCGGGGACAGCGGCGAACGGGUGAGUAACACGUGAGUAACCUGCCCUCGGCACCGGAAUAGCCCGGGGAAACCCGGAUUAAUGCCGGAUGGCCCCCCUGUCCUGCGGGACGGUGGGAAAAGGUAGCUUCGGCCUCCGGCCGAGGAUGGGCUCGCGGCGGAUUAGCUUGUUGGCGGGGUAACGGCCCACCAAGGCGACGAUCCGUAGCUGGUCUGAGAGGACGAUCAGCCACACUGGGACUGAGACACGGCCCAGACUCCUACGGGAGGCAGCAGUGGGGAAUCUUGCGCAAUGGGCGAAAGCCUGACGCAGCGACGCCGCGUG
rnacentral:rRNA from 1 species